rnacentral:piRNA from 1 species
UCUCUUCAUGACCAAGUGUGAUUAGUUUGC